AUUGAACGCUGGCGGCAUGCUUUACACAUGCAAGUCGGACGGCAGCACAGAGAUGCUUGCUUCUUGGGUGGCGAGUGGCGAACGGGUGAGUAAUAUAUCAGAACGUACCGAGUAAUGGGGGAUAACUAAUCGAAAGAUUAGCUAAUACCGCAUAUUCUCUGAGGAGGAAAGCAGGGGACCUUCGGGCCUUGCGUUAUUCGAGCGGCCGAUAUCUGAUUAGCUAGGUGGUGGGGUAAAGGCCAACCAAGGCGACGAUCUGUAGCGGGUGUGAGAGGACGACCCUCCACACCUGACCUGUGCCGCGGCCCAGACUCCUGCGGGAGUCGGCGGUGGGGAAAUUUAUACUAUUGGCUCAAGCCUGGUCCGACCCUGCCGCGUUUCUUAAGAAAGCCUUCGGGUUGUAAAGGUCUUUUGUCAGGGAAGAAAAGGCUGUUGCUAAUAUCAAUAGCUGAUGACGGUACCUGAAGAAUAAGCACCGGCUAACUACGUG
rnacentral:rRNA from 1 species